CUUCUAGACAAAGGGUAAACCGCACAUAGCAUCACCGGAUUUCUCAAGCGGUAUUCAUCUUCACCGCAUACCAUUUGAGCGGUGUUCAUAUAAACCGCACGCCACUUGAGAAGGGAGGAGAUUACACCGCUCACCUAUUGAUCGGAUUGUUCUCCGGUUUGCUUCAAGACCCAAUUGAUUUCUCGGCUAAGGGUAAACAACAAAGUUUCAUCGGUUUUCUGAGCGGAUUCUGAGUUUUCCUUGAGCGAUUUAAGAUAAACCGCACAACUCAUCAGAUUUGAAGCAAAAGCAGUUUGGAGAACAACUCCACAGAAACAGUGUGCAUCAGGAUUGUUUGUUUUUUACAGCCGGUAUUAGUCUUUAUAACAGCAGCUCAAACAGCAGCUCAAACAGCAGCUCAGGAGGAUUCAUUUGUGGUCUGAAAUAACAGCUGCUACACAGCAACUAAACAGCAGCAACAAUAGCAUGUUGGUUUGGAAGCUGUUUGUGUUGAGAUGAAACAAGAAACAGCAGGUAGCAACUACCAUAUGACAGCAAGACUAUACAGCAGGUUCACAGAUUCUUAACUGCAUUGCAAGGUCUUCGAACAGCAACUUCACUUUGUUUGACUGUUUGGAAUGUAGUAAGCAACAUCUGUGAUAUUGACACAGAUAAGUCUAACACAGCUUGCUUGACAGAUUUGAACAUAUCAAGCUGUGAUCUUGUUGUUAUAAAUGGUCAAAAGAAGUUCUGUUCAUCAUUGUUGAAAAUGUGUUGAAGCUGAAUUUUUUUUAAGCUUUGUUGAUCUUGACAGCAGGUUAAGUUCUGUUGACAGCAGGUUGCGUUUGCAACAAGCAGGUUUUGUAAACUGUUUUGACAGGACUUGACAACAAGGUUCAGAAGCUACACAGAGACAGCGACAGCAAACACAAAGCAGCAGCAGGUUUAAUUUUUGUACAGUAAUAGGUUUAAACAUUGUGAUAGUGGUUUGCUGUUUCUGCUGUGUUGUGUUGGUGUUUAAAACAACAGUUGGUAAGCUCCACAGUCUGUUUUGUGACAGCAACUACACAACAGCAGGUUUGUUUCUUGACUAAUUCAUGUUUCAAAACAGUAGCAAUAACAGUUUUUGAUCUUGAUUGUUUUUUACAGCAAUAAUAGUAAUACACAGCUUUGAACAGAAAUUAUCUUGACUGAGUUUAGUGUGUAGUCUUCAACUGUUUUAAACAGAUUUGAAGCAGUAUUAAAGCAGACUGUGUUUUAAACAGAUUUAAACAGGUUGUGUAUUAUUAACAGUGUGCAGGACUGAAACAAUAGCUCACAGGUUUAAGUUGAAUUUUAGUUGUUUGUUGAGACUACACAGUUUAUUGUACCAAUUGAGACAUAAGAUGUGCUUGACUGUUUUGGUUCUGUUAUUUUGACAGCAGCAGGAUCUCACAGUUUUGAUUGCUGAUUUAAGUUUGAGCAGUUAUUUGACACAAGUUGUUAUCACAGAAGUGACUGAUACGAGGGYGUGAGAAGUGGAUCCAUACUAGAAGCUUUCAAGUGGAUUUCUGGAUAGUCUUACGAGGGCAUAUAGUAUAUUGUUUUUGUUCCAUAUCUGUAUUGUAUUUGGGCUUGGAUCGGUGUGAUUUGGACUUAGACUCAUAAUUUUGGACUUGGAUUUCU